GACUCUAGAAAUUAAAAGGAUCUCUCCUAUUUCCUAGCUAUGUGGCUUCGGCAAUUUAUUAAUCUCUUUGUGCUUAUAGUUCCUUAUGUGCUAAAUGCCUAUUCAGGCUGUUAUGGCAAUCAGUGAGAAACCACAUGUUAAGUGCUUUUCAACAGUACCUGGCACAGAAUAGAUGCUCAGUAAAUGGAUAAAGACCUUUCAAACUGGAGUUUUACCUCCUGGCUUUUCUCCCUGCAGCCAACUCCCUUAAUGUCAAGCAGUGAAGAUGGAUCCUGGGGAAAUAAAUUCCAAAACUAUUGUAAUGGAAAGAGUUAGCUUCAGUCAACUUUAACAUUAAACUGUUAAUAAAAGAGUCUUCCCCAUAAAGAAGUCACCGGGCAGCCUUUCUCCUAAGAACUCAGCUUAUUAACCAUUACCCUCUGGACAUGCGUCUCCCACAUAUACACACGCACCUUUUCUGAGCAGCCUCAGCUUUUUCCUGCUGAAGCCCGGGAAAGUCUCUGCAUCUCACUUGGUAAAAUAGUGAUUUAAUGAGAUGUUUAAUUAUUUUUGAACCAACAACAAUAUUUUGCUGAAUACUAUAAUUGCAUUUUCCAUUUUGCUGGAAAAUUGAAUGCUGAGAAGCAUGUGAACUUGUCAUGUCAGUGCACAGUCUGAAAAAUCAACAGACUCAACACUAAAGGCUGUGGCUCCUUUUCCAAUCAUCCAUAAUACGGAGCAACAGGUUUUGAGGACUCUCUAAAUCCAGCUCAAGAGAAAAAAUUCGAGAGUCAGCGGACAGACACCAGGACGGGAUAAUUAAAUACGCUGAAGGGCCUGUCACGACUCCACGUGAAUCCAGGAGACAGAGCUUUCAUGGACCAAUCACUGCAUUCCCCCAAAGUGCCC
rnacentral:lncRNA from 1 species